rnacentral:rRNA from 1 species
AACGUAGGAGGCGAGCGUUAUCCGGAUUUACUGGGCGUAAAGCGCGUGCAGGCGGUCGGGUAAGUUGGAUGUGAAAGCUCCUGGCUCAACUGGGAGAGGUCGUUCAAGACUGGCAGACUGGAGAGCAGUAGGGGAAGGUGGAAUUCCGGGUGUAGUGGUGAAAUGCGUAGAUAUCCGGAGGAACACCAGUGGCGAAAGCGGCCUUCUGGACUGCAUCUGACGCUCAGACGCGAAAGCUAGGGGAGCAAACGGG